rnacentral:rRNA from 1 species
GACGAACGCUGGCGGCGUGCCUAAUACAUGCAAGUAGAACGCUGAAGAGAGGAGCUUGCUCUUCUUGGAUGAGUUGCGAACGGGUGAGUAACGCGUAGGUAACCUGCCUGGUAGCGGGGGAUAACUAUUGGAAACGAUAGCUAAUACCGCAUAAAAUUGAUUAUUGCAUGAUAAUUAAUUGAAAGAUGCAAUUGCAUCACUACCAGAUGGACCUGCGUUGUAUUAGCUAGUUGGUGAGGUAACGGCUCACCAAGGCGACGAUACAUAGCCGACCUGAGAGGGUGAUCGGCCACACUGGGACUGAGACACGGCCCAGACUCCUACGGGAGGCAGCAGUAGGGAAUCUUCGGCAAUGGGGGGAACCCUGACCGAGCAACGCCGCGUGAGUGAAGAAGGUUUUCGGAUCGUAAAGCUCUGUUGUAAGAGAAGAACGGGUGUGAGAGUGGAAAGUUCACACUGUGACGGUAUCUUACCAGAAAGGGACGGCUAACUACGUGCCAGCAGCCGCGGUAAUACGUAGGUCCCGAGCGUUGUCCGGAUUUAUUGGGCGUAAAGCGAGCGCAGGCGGUUAGAUAAGUCUGAAGUUAAAGGCUGUGGCUUAACCAUAGUAUGCUUUGGAAACUGUUUAACUUGAGUGCAGAAGGGGAGAGUGGAAUUCCAUGUGUAGCGGUGAAAUGCGUAGAUAUAUGGAGGAACACCGGUGGCGAAAGCGGCUCUCUGGUCUGUAACUGACGCUGAGGCUCGAAAGCGUGGGGAGCAAACAGGAUUAGAUACCCUGGUAGUCCACGCCGUAAACGAUGAGUGCUAGGUGUUAGGCCCUUUCCGGGGCUUAGUGCCGCAGCUAACGCAUUAAGCACUUCGCCUGGGGAGUACGACCGCAAGGUUGAAACUCAAAGGAAUUGACGGGGGCCCGCACAAGCGGUGGAGCAUGUGGUUUAAUUCGAAGCAACGCGAAGAACCUUACCAGGUCUUGACAUCCCUCUGACCGCUCUAGAGAUAGAGUUUUCCUUCGGGACAGAGGUGACAGGUGGUGCAUGGUUGUCGUCAGCUCGUGUCGUGAGAUGUUGGGUUAGGUCCCGCAACGAGCGCAACCCCUAUUGUUAGUUGCCAUCAUUGAGUUGGGCACUCUAGCGAGACUGCCGGUAAUAAACCGGAGGAAGGUGGGGAUGACGUCAAAUCAUCAUGCCCCUUAUGACUUGGGCUACACACGUGCUACAAUGGCUGGUACAACGAGUCGCAAGCCGGUGACGGCAAGCUAAUCUCUGAAAGCCAGUCUCAGUUCGGAUUGUAGGCUGCAACUCGCCUACAUGAAGUCGGAAUCGCUAGUAAUCGCGGAUCAGCACGCCGCGGUGAAUACGUUCCCGGGCCU